UUACAAAAAAAUUAUAGAAAUUAUAUUAAAAAGAUAAAUUUAUCCAAAUUAAUAUAUAUUAUAAUUUAUAUAUGGAUAUAUGACUAUAUUCAUUGCGCAUGAAAGAUUUACUUCUAAAAUUUCGCGCUUGACGCCAAAGUUUCGAGAGAUCGAACUCAUUUCAAUAAUUCGAGCCGUUGCAGUGCGAGCAGUCGUAAAUUGUCUGUCCUCAGUGAAGGAAUAUCAAGAUAUUUGUUUUUAUACCAGUUAACUCACAUGCGUUUUUCUUAUUAAUCCGUGUUAUUAGAGUACUGAAAUUCUUGGAAUACGGAUUUAAUAAUAUCUCAACGAACUCUCGCGAGUGAAUACGCUAAAGAGAACAAAGACCGUAUACGAAGAUGUGCGGUGGUUUUACGUGUUCUAAAAACGCAUUGACGGCACUAAAUAUUCUUUAUAUCGUUGUUGCAUUUAUUUUAAUUGGUGUGGCUGUUUAUGGAAGAGCUUCAGCAUUAGUUACAAAUCUUCCUAUUAUUGGAGGUAUUUUAGCAUGUGGUGUUAUUUUGAUUCUAAUUUCUAUAAUUGGUCUGAUUGGUGCUGUUAAACAUCAUCAAGUUCUAUUAUUCUUUUAUAUGUUGAUUUUAUUUCUGUUAUUCUUGAUUCAAUUCAGUAUUGCUUGUGCUUGUCUUGCUGUCAAUGCCAAACAGCAAGAACAAUUAGCAGAACAGGGUUGGAAACAUGCACCAGAAUUAAGAACAAAAGUUGAGGAAACUUUUAAUUGUUGUGGAUUCAAUGGUACUGAUAGCACAUUUAUAAUGAAUACUUCAGAUUCAUUAUCAUGUAAAAAUAAACUCUGUUCUUGUCAAUAUCCUACAGAUAUUGAUUGUGAAUGUCCAUCUUGUAUGCAAAAAUUACAAUCCACAAUUGAUUAUGCCUUUAAGCUAUGUGGUAGCAUAGGAUUGUUUUUCAGUUUUACUGAAUUUGUUGGUGUUUGGUUGACCGUGCGGUACAGGAAUCAGAAAGAUCCACGAGCUAAUCCUAGUGCUUUCCUCUAGUCUAAUAUCAUCGCUAUGUCCUCUGUCACCUCAUGCGAUCCUCCUAAUAGAUGGUGAUUGCAGCUUUCUUGGCAAAACAUUAUAGAAAUCAACUAAAUCCAUCUUUAAAAACCAUAUUUCCUUAGUAUAAUUUUAUUUACAUAGUUCAUAUAGUUUAAAAAAAAAUUUUUUUUUAAUUGAAAGAUAGAUUUUAAUAAGUAAUGAGAUUAAUGAUUUAUAACUAUAAUUCUGGUCACUUUGAUUAUUUAAUAGUCAAAAGAUCUAUUUUUAUUUAACAGUACAAACAUCAUCUUGCAUACAAUACAAUUUUUGAAAAACUAUUGGUCUUUCACACUGCAAUUUAUAAUGCUCAACAGAAAAAAAAAAUAGCACAUUUGGAACAGUCAUAGAUUUUAGAACAGAUUAGAUAACAUAUAAUUAAAAUGUGUGCUCUAGUCAUCCAUUUAGAAAAAUCGUACUAAGCCUCAAUGCGCCUUGUAGUUUAAUAUUUAGGUACAUUUAUGCAAAGCCUUUCUAUAAAACUUUGUUUAUUUAUAAAAGAUAACUUAUAUAAAUAUGAUUGAUUAUCUAAUUUACUUUCUAUCAAUAUAUUUUUUAAAAGUACAAGUGUUAUUAAAAAUUUUAAAUAGGUUUUAGAAAAUAUAACAUGUCCCGAAUAUUAUCAAUUCUUUUUAUUUGGUAAAGAUCUUUUGUGGUUUAAUUUUUAAUCAGAAAAGAUUAAAGAUUUUUAAUUUUUUUUUUACCUCAUAAUAUUCAUAAAUAUUUUUAAUAAUUUCAUUUUUAAUUAAAUUAAUUAGAAAAUUAAAUCAAAUUAUUUUUUAUCAAAAUAUUGUUAUAAAAAAACGAAAGAAUUUCGUUGUAAAUUAUAAAGUAUUAAUAUUAUAAUAAUUAUAAAGUUAAUAUUUCACAAAUCAAACAUAUUAAUGCUAUAAUAAAAAAUAUAACGUGAUGAUUAAAAUAUUAUACACAAUUCUUUGAUCUUGGCAUAUUAUUACAAUACUGCCAUGUAUAAUAAUAUCAUAAUCAUCACUAAUCAUUAUUAAUUUCCAAUUUUUAAUCUGCUUUCUUUAAUUUUUAUAAAUUUCCAUUAUAAAAUUCUAUGAGCAUAUUCCUAAAUUUUAUAUAUGAUGCAUUUAAGAAAUAUUCCAAUUAUUACAAUUAUUCUAUCUUUUAAAUUAUUCUAUUAAGUUAAAAUAUUGUUAUUUUAAUAAAUUAAAAAAAUUAUUAACUUUAUUAAAUAUGUAAUGCUUAUAUGAAAUUUUUAAAAUUUUUAUUUUAUUUAAUUAAUAAGUAAAAAGAAUAAUCAUAAUUAUAUAUUAUACUUAGAUUUAAUAUUGCACUAACUAAUAAAUGUCUUAUUAAAAUAUGUAUUUAUAAUAUUAUGUUCUGAAUAUUAUAUAAACAUUUAUUUAUUUUGUGAAAGUACAUGUUUAAAAAAAAAGGUACAUAUUGUUGAAAUUAUCAAUAUUUUUAUUUCUAUAUUAAUUUUGUUUUCUUUUCUUUUUUAUAAUUAAAAUAAGAGAACGGCAAUAAAAUUGCACGAUCAAAAAAUUAGAAUAUAUAUGUUGUUAUAAAAAAAGAUCUAUAUAACUAUAUGUCUUUUGCUAUAAUAUUGACUGAGAAAUGUUUUUCUAAUUGUAUCUAUUGAUAAAUCUAAAAUCAAUCAUCUUAAUAUUAUGUUAAAGAAUUAAAAAUGUUUGAUGAAAACCUUCUCAGCAAUAUAUUGAAUAUAAAUAGAAUUGGUUUGAAGAUAUAAUAUUAAAGCAUAUAAUAUAACAUUAUUAUCAAUAAAAUAUAUAACAUUAUAUAUACUUUUACAAUUAUAAUUGUGAAAAUAAAUCUUUAUAUUAUUUAUUGAUAUAAUUGAUUUCAGGAUUUCUAUAUUUGAUUAGAUUUUUUUUGUUUUUUCAGAAAAUACUGUAAGCUCAUAAAAUUUUAAUCUUUUUUUUAUAACAUUUUAUAUAUAAUGAUUAAUAACGAUUAUUUAUUACAUUAAUUUUUUAUUCUAUAUAUUUUACAUUUUAGGAUAUUUUUAAAAAUAAUACAUAUUAACCCUUUCAAUGCUUUUAAUUUUUUAAAUUAUAAAGGAAAUUAUUUUGAAAAAUAUAAUGUACUAUAUAUAUUUAAUAUAUAUAGGAUAUUAAUAUUAUGUUUAUAAUAUCUUAUAUUAUAUAAUUACAAAUAAAUAAAAUAAUUUAUUAAUAAAUUAAAAAAUAUACAAAAUAAGAUAAAAUUAUUUUAUUAUUAUAAAUGAAAAAAAUUUUGUUUCUUAUAUAUAUAUAUUAAUUAAAAUAACAUAAUAAAGUAUGAAGAUCUAUAUAUAUUUAAAUUUAAAUAAAAUAAAAAAUAAUAAAACAUGUAGCAAAGGGUUAAUAGAAAUGUAUUAUUCUAACAUUCCAAUUAUUCUUUUACUUUUAUCAAAAAUAUGAAGUAAUAAUAAUAUAAAUAUCCUUAAAAUUUAUAAUUUUUCUGUAUGUGAAAAUUAUAUUAUAUUAUAUUAUAGAGCAAAAUUAAAUAUAUAUAUAUGAUAUAUAUAUAUAUAAACAUAUAUAGGAUAAGAUAAAAAUCAUAGUAUAAUUGAUUAUAUAAUAUUUCUACGUGAAAAAAUUUAGUGGUUGAUUUUUUUGUCCUUUCAAAAUUUUCAGAGAAAAAUUUUGAAAAUUAUACAUAUAUAAUUUUGAUUGUCAUCUUAUUUUUUAUAUUAAUAAGUUUGAAUUAAUAUUUAUAAAUUUAAAUCAUAUAAUAAAUGGAUUUCAAUAAAAUUUUUCAUUAUUUUAUUAAUAAAUAUUAUUAUUAAUAAAUAAUAAUAUAUAAUAAAUAUGAUUUUAUUAUUCUGUUAUUGAAAAUAUAACUUCUAUUGUACUUUUCAUAACAUGGCUUACAAAUAAUUAUUCGAACAUAUGAUAAUAAAAUAUAUGAUAAUAAUAUCAUAUUACAAUAAUAAAUUAAUUUUUUAGCUUUCAAUCAUUUAUUUUUUUUAGAAUUAAAAAUUGAUUUUAUAAAAAAUAAAAAAAUUCGCAUUAAAUUUUUCUUAUAUUUUUUCACGUAGAUAUUAAACGUUUAAAAUCAUGUUUUUAAUAGUUAUACUACAAUUUUUGAUUUACUUGUAUUAAAUGUUUAUUAAUAUAUAAUUUACCUGUAUUAAAUAAAUAAAAUAAAUGGUAAAUAUAUAUUGAUAUAA